CUGCUAACUCACGCCUCCACACUGUCCAGAACCGAAUCAUCGAUCCAUUCUCUCUCCCUCUUCCCCUCCUCCCACCCCGCCAUUGCCUCCUCCAAUCUUCCAUGCCACCGCAUCCUACCCUUCCCUGCCCACCCCACCGCAGCCUCCUCCCCUCCUCCCCUCGCCCCCCUGCCUCCUCCCUCCGCGGCGGCGCAUGGGCCCGCACGCGAGGACACGACGGCGCGCGGUGAGGAACUCCCUUUGAGGUGAUGCGUGACGACACGCCGGCGCGGUGCGGCGCGGCGACUAUGAGGCAGCGAGCGGGACGAGGUGUGGUGGCUCGGAUGCGGCGGCGAGCGGGGCGUGGACCGGCGCACGGAUCCGCCGGGCUGCAGCGGGGGACUGCGAUGCUGCGGCACGCAGGGCAGUUUUCGCCUCAUGGAUCAUGGUUAUCACCACCGAGCCAGCAAAGAAUUCACCAUGAUUAUGCAGAAGAAGCUCCAAAAUAGUUUAUGUAAACUACCUUGGACGAACUGUUCUCCCAAUGGUUUGUUGCUCUUCUUUUCUGUUGGUCCUACCUCUUUUCUGAAGUGGAGCAAGAAAGAAAUCACAGCAUUUCUCAAUCUCUGUCUAAUGAUGUGAGGAGAAGACGCUGCUACAUGGGUGAACCACACACACAUGUAUGGGCAAGACUGAAGCAGCUACCCUAUGCUCACCCUCCUCCAAAUCAGGGUCUGAUUGGUCCCAAAUUUUGUUGAUGUUUGCUACUUUGUCGGGCAAUAAUCUGAAUCUAGAAUGUUUCAAUUUCACUAUAAAGAGUAAAAGGCUGCUAUGGUCUGGGUGCCUGCCCCUCCCACAUCUCCUGGGAGUAUGGCAUAUACCAUUAUAUUAUCCAUGCAAUUUUCAUCUG